AUGGAGGAGCGGCGGGACGAGGGGUUUGGAGGGGGCGGGGCGGUGCGGGAGCUGGUGCUGAUGCAGCAGGAGCGGCGGCGCCGGCGGGAGGAGGAGGAGGAGGAGGUGCGGCGCCAGAUGUUCGGGGGAGGCGCCGCGUUCCACGCUGCGGCGGCCGCGGCCGCGCUGGGCCAGCAGCACCAGCACCAGCAGGCGGAGUACGGCGAGCUCGGGGGCGGCGCGUUCUACGAGAGCGAGGCGGGCGGGUCGUCGGAGCCCGAGCCGCACGGGGCGUCCGACCGCCCGCGCGGGGGCGGGGGGUCCGGCAGCAAGCGCACCCGCGCCGCCGAGGUGCACAACCUCUCCGAGAAGCGGCGGAGGAGCAGGAUCAACGAGAAGAUGAAGGCGCUGCAGAGCCUGAUACCCAAUUCCAACAAGACUGACAAGGCGUCGAUGCUUGACGAGGCCAUUGAGUAUCUGAAGCAACUGCAGCUCCAAGUACAGAUGCUGUCUAUGAGAAACGGCGUUUACUUGAACCCAUCGUAUCUAUCUGGAGCACUUGAGCCUGUGCAAGCAUCACAAAUGUUUGCAGCACUUGGUGUUAGUGGGAGAAAUGUGGUGGCACCAAGCUCUGGGGCAGUAGCGCCACCUGUAAACCAAAGUUCAGGAGCUCAUCAUUCAUUCGAUCCGAUGAAUUCUCCUCAACAAAAUCAACCACAGCCUCUUGUGUUACCAAGCUGUCCUAAAACAACCAUUCCAGAGCCUCCGUUUCACUUGGAGUCGUCACAGCCCCACCUUCAAUCAUUUCAGUUGCCUGAAUCCUCCGAGAUGAUGUUGCGAGGGGAUAUAAUGCUGAAGCAUCACCUAACAUCAGCUCAGGACAGAGCUGAUCCAUCAGGAAACAAGAUGAACUCAUUAAGGCAAGAAUCAUCCAUGUUGAACACUCAUUUUGAUGGAUGCUCGCGUAGCAAAGAGCAGUCACAUGAUAUGGUACCAGCAAAUACACGGCAUGUGUAG
rnacentral:rRNA from 1 species